UACGGAGGGGACUAGCGUUGUUCGGAAUUACUGGGCGUAAAGGGCGCGUAGGCGGUCUGUUAAGUUCGGUGUGAAAGCCCCCGGCUCACCUGGGGAACUGCGCCGGAAACCGACAGACUCGAGUACCGGAGAGGAGGGUGGAAUUUCUGGUGUAGCGGUGAAAUGCGUAGAUAUCAGGAGGAACACCGGUGGCGAAGGCGGCCCUCUGGACGGAUACUGACGCUGAGGCGCGAAAGCGUGGGGAUCAAACAGG
rnacentral:rRNA from 1 species